UGGGGAAUAUUGGACAAUGGGGGGAACCCUGAUCCAGCCAUGCCGCGUGUGUGAAGAAGGCCUUAUGGUUGUAAAGCACUUUAAGCGAGGAGGAGGGUACUGGUAUUAAUACUACCAGGUACUGGACGUUACUCGCAGAAUAAGCACCGGCUAACUCUGUGCCAGCAGCCGCGGUAAUACAGAGGGUGCGAGCGUUAAUCGGAUUUACUGGGCGUAAAGCGUGCGUAGGCGGCUAAUUGAGUCGGAUGUGAAAUCCCCGAGCUUAACUUGGGAACUGCAUUCGAUACUGGUUAGCUAGAGUGUGGGAGAGGAUGGUAGAAUUCCAGGUGUAGCGGUGAAAUGCGUAGAGAUCUGGAGGAAUACCGAUGGCGAAGGCAGCCAUCUGGCCUAACACUGACGCUGAGGUACGAAAGCAUGGGGAGCAAACAGG
rnacentral:rRNA from 1 species